ACUUGUACAGACUUUCUGGCUGGAAUUUCAAAACUGGCUUCAUUCAAACAUAUAUCAAUGCAGCCUUUGACUGUGAUCUCAAUUAAGGUUGGAGUAUUGUUGAAGGAAAAGAUCCUAGACUUUUUGAUAAAUAAUUUCAUUACUUUGUGCAAAUACUAUAUUCACAGAUGUAAGUAUUUAAAGGUUAAACCUCACUUCAGCGGAUGGAAGAAUGAACUAAAGAUAUUUACAAAGUCUCUUCAUUACAUGAUGGACAGGAACGCCCAGAAACUCUUAUAUGCUUUUAACUUGUUUUUGCUGUUAGAAUAAGACCCUCAACCUUCUUUUUCUUUCCCUUUUUUAUUCUGUUUUAUCUUAUUGUGUGAUUAUUGUUUGUUGUUUUUUUUCUCGCUCUCUCAUCUUUUUUCUUUCUUUUUGGCUGUAUCAACACGAAUAAUAUGUGUUCAGUUGUUGAAAUAGGCUGUAAAGGUUUGUAAUUGUAUUUGGUACCUUAAUAUUAAAAAAAAAAACAAAAAACUUGCUUUUCUGAAAUGAGACAGCCUCGUUGACGUAUGCAGCCUUCUAAAUGAGACACAGCUAUAAUCUACUCUAAAUAAUGGAUUUUAGAAUAUUGGCCUAAAAAUCGAAUAUGACAUUUUGAUUUUUUAACUAAGCUGUGACCCGGAAGUUCACGCGCCGGGACGAAUGGAAACGGAAGAGUGCGGAUGCCAAAUUAAGUCGCGAAACUUCCUUCAAGCAAGUCAUGGAUACAUACACGCUUUUCAAGGGUCCUCAGAGGGUAACUUUAAAGGACGAAGACAUGACAACUGAUAGGAUUGGUCGUAUAUUUCAGAGGACACUACGAAGUUCACGGAGAUUCUGCCGAGGUGCAGUCACCGGACUCAAGUGUUCGACCCACUGCUGGAUCUGGGUCUGUGCGCUUUGCAUUUCAGCGACCCAGUGCGGCCGCUGGUUUUGCUUCGCAGGCAUCUUUGUCUGCGCCACGGGCCAGUAUGUCAAAACCUUUUCAACGGAAUGUUUUUCUUGCUGAUCUGGUUGGUGGAAAAUGGACACCCCAGAAGACUGUGGCGAUCCGUUUUCAUGAACAUGAGGCAUCAGUUCCUGGUAUCUUGGCAAAAGUCCAAGAUGCUAUUGGAUCAGAAGAUGGUAUGAUACUGACUGAUGGCCAGGGGAAUGAAAUUCUCGAUACAGAGGGAACAAAAGGUAACUGCAAAAGAUGAGAUUGACUACAAGCUGCUUUAAAAAAAUCUAAGAAAAACACAAUGAAAACACCAGUAAGGUCAGAGAAAUGUAAUACCAGUUGAUUAAAAAAAAAAGUUCUAUACACCUAAACAAUAUAAAUAUGAUUUUAAUCAUAUAAAAACAAUAUAAAUAUGAUAUAAUUAUCAGGUUCUAAUCCCAAGAACUGCCAGAGGUUGCACAGGCCAUCAGAGGCUUAUCUGAGCUGACGUUGGCACACAGACGUUUUAUUACAUUCACGGACGAAGAACGUGCAGCUAUUAAAAAUGCAUUUGCUUGCAUAAUUUGCAAAGGUUUGUUAACAAGAUAAUUUAGUCUCUAUAAGAUUUGUUGAUAGCCAGGAUAGUAUUUUGUGAAUUAAACUGUAAUACUUUCCUCUCUUCUCUUUGGAUUAAGAUCCCAGAAAUAUUAUGAAAAAACUAACAAGUAAUUUUAUUUAUUUUAAAUUUCUAGGGCCCAUGAAUGAUCCUGUUUUUGCAGUUUGCUGUCAGAGUCUCAUUGCAUGCAAAGUGUGCUUUGACCAGUGGCAGCGAAAUGCCAACACCUGUGUGAAAUGCAGAGGAGACAACUCAAGGGAAAACACCUACAGAGUCACAGGAAUUGAUGGUGCAUUGUCUGCUUUUGGUGAUCUUAUCAAAGAUUAAAUACAGUGGGAAUAAAAGCUGUAUACCUGUUACA
ensembl:lncRNA